GUAAAAAAAAAAAAAAAAAUAAAAUAAAAGAGAGAAAAAGAAAACAACAAAAACAACUCGUCAUUGACAUCUCUAUCUAUCUAUCUAUCUAUCUUUCUUUCUUUCUUUCUUUCCCUCUCUUAAUAUUUAUAUAUGUAUCUGUCUCUAUAUUUUAUGUGUAUAUCGAAACAAAAAGAAA
rnacentral:ribozyme from 1 species